rnacentral:rRNA from 1 species
UACGUAGGGUGCGAGCGUUAAUCGGAAUUACUGGGCGUAAAGCGCACGCAGGCGGUCUUUUAAGUUUGACGUGAAAGCUCCCGGCUUAACUGGGAGAGGUCGUUGAAUACUGGGAGACUUGAGGCAAUGAGAGGGGUGUAGAAUUCCUGGUGUAGUGGUGGAAUGCGUAGAUAUCAGGAGGAAUACCAGUGGCGAAAGCGGCACCCUAGCGUUGUUCUGACGCUCAUGUGCGAAAGCGUGGGGAGCAAACGGG